rnacentral:rRNA from 1 species
UUUAUGGAGAGUUUGAUCCUGGCUCAGGAUGAACGCUGGCGGCGUGCCUAAUACAUGCAAGUCGAGCGAACGGACGAGAAGCUUGCUUCUCUGAUGUUAGCGGCGGACGGGUGAGUAACACGUGGAUAACCUACCUAUAAGACUGGGAUAACUUCGGGAAACCGGAGCUAAUACCGGAUAAUAUUUUGAACCGCAUGGUUCAAAAGUGAAAGACGGUCUUGCUGUCACUUAUAGAUGGAUCCGCGCUGCAUUAGCUAGUUGGUAAGGUAACGGCUUACCAAGGCAACGAUGCAUAGCCGACCUGAGAGGGUGAUCGGCCACACUGGAACUGAGACACGGUCCAGACUCCUACGGGAGGCAGCAGUAGGGAAUCUUCCGCAAUGGGCGAAAGCCUGACGGAGCAACGCCGCGUGAGUGAUGAAGGUCUUCGGAUCGUAAAACUCUGUUAUUAGGGAAGAACAUAUGUGUAAGUAACUGUGCACAUCUUGACGGUACCUAAUCAGAAAGCCACGGCUAACUACG